AACAAAGUAGGCAUCCAUUUUGGAUGUCUUAUACAGUCCUCCUUCUGAUGCCAAAUAUUUUCCAAAUCAUGAACAGACAGUUGCAAAAUGGUAAACAUUUGGUCAAAUGACUAGUAAUGCAAAUGAAUGUGAAUAAAGAAAGUGGUUAAAAAGAGGAAGUAGGAAAGGUAGGUAAGGGAUUUACUUAUAUAAUUUCAAUAUACAUUAAUUAAAAAAAUAAAAAUAGUCUCCACUGACUAUGUACAGCUUUCUCCUCAAAGUAAGGAGACUGAAACAGUUUGGUUUAGGACAUUAAGUUCUGCAACAAUUUCACUUUAUUUAUUUACAUAGGUUCCAAUGGGAAGUGAUUAGAUUAGCAAUCACAUAUUUGCUCACAAUAGCCUUAGAACAACAUUUGGUGUUGGGAACACAUUUGAAUCUGUCCAGCAAUCCUCAGAUGGCACUCUGCACCACAGAGAAUGAAGUUCCUGAGCAUUCUUGAUUAAUGUGUAAUAUUAUGAUUAAAAGAACACUCCACAGACAUAAAGUGGUUAAACUUUGUGUGUGUGAUGUGCUGAUUUUCUUUGCAGUUUACAAAAGUCCUGGUUUCUAUUUAAAUUUGUCACUUUUAUAGAUAAUUGCAGAAACACCUCACGGCUGUCAGACAGUCAGGGAGGUUAUUUUCCAGAUUAUGUUAGCUACACAGAGUUCUGGAGUGUCUCUGUCUUCUCCACCAAGUUGCAAUGUUCCUGUGAGCAUGCAUGGGUCAACAGACUUUAUUUCACUGUUGUGUCCUCAUGCAAUUCAGGGCUCAAAAUCAGAGGCUUCUUCAUUGAUAAUAAUAAAUAUAAAAAAAAAAAA